UGCUGUGCUUGUCCCCACGCGCCGGCGAAGCCCCGAGGCUCAGCGGGGAGGCCCCGGAUCCGGCCACCCCCGGUCUGCAGUGGUCAGGUCUCGCUGGCAUCUGCUACACAAACCCGGAUUGGUGCCCUGGCUCCUUUCCUUCAUGUCAUUGGAACCCCCACUCAAAAUCGUCAAAAUGAAGACAGUGGUCAUGUCUCCCUCUCGGGGUUGGACUAAAAGGGCCUACUGUGAGAGACGGAAAGCAAAGCUCCUGGCACAGGGCCGGGCACACGGUGGGCACUAGGUAAUGACCGUUAUUCAUUCAACCUCAGCGAGUAAUUACGGGGGAGGGCCAUGUAAGUGCUUGCUUGGGAACCAGUCACAUCGGUGAAGAAGACGGCCAUGGGCUUAUGUUUUGGUGGCAAGACAGCUCCUCUGCCUCAAAAAGGAAAAGAAAAGAGAAGAGAAAAUAAAAAGAAUAUAGGAUUGCAUCUCCUUGCUCCUGUCCACGUGACUUGCUUUGGUCAACACAUUGUGAGCAGAAGAGAUAUGUUACUCUUGAUGAGAACCUUUAAGAACCAUAUUUCUCUCACCAUGCCAUGGUAAUCAGCGAUCCCCUGAUGAUGGGGUGGCUACAGGCUGGGUCUGGGAAUGAGGAUGACUUAAAACGAAGCCCAGCCACAUCUGCUGGGCAUACAGCAUGAACGAGAAAUAAAUCUUUUGGGUUUUGUUUGUUGUACAGCAUAA